UAGGGAAUCUUCGGCAAUGGACGGAAGUCUGACCGAGCAACGCCGCGUGAGUGAAGAAGGUUUUCGGAUCGUAAAGCUCUGUUGUAAGAGAAGAACGAGUGUGAGAGUGGAAAGUUCACACUGUGACGGUAUCUUACCAGAAAGGGACGGCUAACUACGUGCCAGCAGCCGCGGUAAUACGUAGGUCCCGAGCGUUGUCCGGAUUUAUUGGGCGUAAAGCGAGCGCAGGCGGUUAGAUAAGUCUGAAGUUAAAGGCUGUGGCUUAACCAUAGUACGCUUUGGAAACUGUUUAACUUGAGUGCAAGAGGGGAGAGUGGAAUUCCAUGUGUAGCGGUGAAAUGCGUAGAUAUAUGGAGGAACACCGGUGGCGAAAGCGGCUCUCUGGCUUGUAACUGACGCUGAGGCUCGAAAGCGUGGGGAGCAAACAGGAUUAGAUACCCUGGUAGUCCACGCCGUAAACGAUGAGUGCUAGGUGUUAGACCCUUUCCGGGGUUUAGUGCCGCAGCUAACGCAUUAAGCACUCCGCCUGGGGAGUACGACCGCNGGUU
rnacentral:rRNA from 1 species